AGGGAAUCCACAGCAGUUUCAUGCAAUGUAUAAAAUAGCUCCAUGAAAGGAGACCAUGGCGUCUUAGAAGCCACAUGAACAAAGCGUUUCCAGCAGGAGUGAUCAGCGUGGCAAGUACUGGAGAGAAGGUGAGAUGAGAAUCGGCCCCUGGAUUUGCCCAGAUGCAGAGGACAAAGAUCAGUCCGCAGCCUACGGGUCCCCUCAGAGCCCCACGGAAGCCCUCAAGCCAUCUGGAAAUUCCUCAGCUUUUCCAGGUGGAUGUGAGGUUGUUCCCCGAGCAGCAGAGCAGCUGGACGCCAGCCUCGCUCACGGAGUCCCCGCGGGUCCCCCGACCUCGAGUGGCUGUUCAGAAACACCAAGCGCCCUCCAGCUCUGAGCUGCUGGUGGCUGCUGGCUCAGGAGGAGGGGCCUGGACGUCUGUCCCCAUGUCCUUAGUGCUUGAGUGAUGUUGGGGACCCUGGAUCCUCAUGGGGUGUCUGGAAAGCACAGGCGCUUUUCCUGGCAUGAGCAGGCCCUCGGGAAGUGUCACCUCCUGCGCUGGCUUGGGCCUCAGUGGGCAGGCUCGUCACCUGAGCCCCGGUGGCCGGGGAUUCCGGGCUCCUCUGGACCAGCUGCCUGAGCCGGGGGGGCCUCGGUUGGGAGAAAGCCAGCGCUGUCACCAAGUCCCUGGGCCCCUCCUGUGACAACUGUGAGUCAUCGCUGGCUGAGUGCCACCGUGGCGCACAUUUCAUACGGGGCCCUCAUUCUCAACAGCUCUGCAGGGCCAUCCCAUUGUCCCUGGGUCACCAGUGAGGAUGCAGGUCCAGCAGCUAAGUCCCAGGCCCUGCCAUGCCGCUGGGGCGGGCUCUGAGCCAACGUCUCUCUCUGUCCACCCGACCGGCCGCCCGCCCGCCUCUCCUGAGCCUCUGCUUUCUCCUUUGUCCUCAGGAUUCUUCUGGCUCGAGCCCUCCGAUGCUGGGAGGCCCAGAGCCCUGCGUAGGGGCACUGUCCCAGCCAGGCCACGGGGGGCUGGGAGAGCCCAUCUCAGGACCCAGCUCUGGCCAUUGGACCCCAGAGAGGCUCACCUGGCAGUCAGCCCCAGGAGCCAGCAGGGAAGCUUGGUUCUGAUGUCCUGAGCUGAGGCCCAGCUGGAGGCCAGUCAGGCAGCUGCCUCACAUCUGGCAGGCCCUGGUCAACCCAGCUGGAUGCAGAUGGCCGGUCCUUCCUCUGAGCCCUGUCCCCACCCUGUGCCAGACUUCCUGCCUUUUUUCUCCAAAAAAAAAGCAAGACUGGUACUGUGAGAACGGCCCAAGGAGGAAGGGGCGCCCGGAGACUGACAGCCUUGCAGCCUCCUUCCCGCACAAAGGCACCACCGUCCCCGCAGCUCUGUGCAUCGCUCACCACAUUUUUCCUGCAGGUGGCAGCGCGGUGUCCUGAGGAAAGGCAACUGUCUAACUGGCACAGUGGGCACCUGCCCGGCCUCGCCUCCCUCCGGCCCUGUCUUCUAGCCAAAAGAUGCUCUGGUCACUGGAUUCACUCACUCACUGGCCAUCACACGUUAAAGGAGCUGCGUCCACUCUGCUGAUUCCUGUGCCCUUGACCCGCCCCAGCUGAAUGGGGCUUGGGUCCGUACCAGCUGGGAAUCCACGCAGAAGGGGACCAAGGGGGCCACUGCCAUGAGGCCAGACCCAGCCGAUUGCGCAGGGGGAGCAGAGCACCGUUUGCUUUGAGAUGGUGACGGCGAUGUUGGUGUUGGUGACAGCAAGUCCCUCUGUGUUCUGUCUCCUCCACUCCCUGUGCCUCUGCUGGCUGCCCUGGGAGUGGCAUUGGUGGUCUCGGCUCCAACACAAAGCAGGAAGGUGCGUCUCCUCACCAGCUCUGGCCCUCUGAUCAUCACACAACAGGUACAGUUGGUAGAAAAGUUAAGUUUUUCGACUGUCAUCACACAUGGCCUGCACCGGAGUCUUUGCAGGGGCUGGCCUGUGUGUCUGUGGUCACUCAUGGGACCGGGGACUGCUGCCCCCCCACAGGGAAGACAGAGGGAUGGCACACAUGCGGGUCCCCCAGACCCCAUGCCCUGCUGGGCAUCUCACAGGCUGGAUCGUGAGUCCCCCGGGGGCUGACGUUGUCCCCAACCUGCAGAUGGGAGAACUGAGCCCCAGGGGGCUGGGAUGGCUGUCACCUGGCUGCCAGCGCGUGAAGCCACAGUUCAAACGCAGGACGGCUGGUUCCGAUGUCUCGGCUUCCCCACUGAGGAUUUCCUGCCUCCUCGGCCUCCAGCUGAGGCUCUACGCGGAAUGUACCUGACUGCUCGGUGAGAUCUGCACUCCAGGUGAGACAGGCUGGGACCUGGGACCUGGGACCCUUUGCUGCUGUGCUGCAGCGCUGGCACCUGGACAAACAUCUCCUUGAGCAACAAAAUACACAGAAUCUAUAAGGGACUAAAAAUAACUGCAUGCUUGUGCAGUUGGGGCAAAUUAUGGACAAGAAGAUACAAAAGACCAAAAACCCAACUGCCGCUUCUGAAGAGCCGGGAGCAAAAGCAGGGUACUGGGCUUCCCUGGUGGUGCAGUGGUUGAGAAUCCGCCUGCCAAUGCAGGGGACACGGGUUCGAGCCCUGGUCUGGGAAGAUCCCACAUGCCGUGGAGCAACUAGGCCCGUGAGCCACAACUGCUGAGCCUGCGCGUCUGGAGCCUGUGCUCCGCAACAAGAGAGGCCGCGAUAGUGAGAGGCCCGCGCACCGCGAUGAAGAGUGGCCCCCGCUUGCCGCAACUAGAGAGGGCCCUCGCACAGAAACGAAGACCCAACACAGACAUAAAUAAAUAAAUAAACCCAAAAAAGUUUAAAAAAAAGAAAAGCAGGGUACUGCGCAUGCCCGCUGCACACACCACCACCAAAGGGGUGGGCGAACCCCCUAAGUCACCCCUUCAGCUCUAACACUGGACCCGUCCCUACCCUCACGCCAUAGAAGGAACCAGCUCGCCCCCCCCUCGGGAAGUGAACAAGGGAACCUCUUACCUGUUCUCACUCCCCCCUGCUGCAGCAGGGGCCCCAGUAAAGCCUUGCUUGAAUUUCU